UAAAUCCUCUCCAGAUAGUGGGUUUUAGCUUUAUAACACAGUUUCAAUUUGGCAAUUUCUUCUAUAAAGAUAAUUAUCCUUUCAAAUCUGCCAACAGUUUUCACAGUUCACAUCUUGUUUCCAUGGACCUCCCUAUUAUGUAUUCUUUCAGUGGACUGUGGAUACGACCGACUUCAACAAGUUCAUUUUGAGUCCCUGCUUUCUUAUAGAAAGACCGGGACACAAAAUGAGGCGCAGUCUCAUUGCUGCGGGGCUCCUAAAUGACAAGGAUGGGAAUAUGUUUUAAUGAGCCCGAGUCCUGAGGCGACGGAGUAAAUUUUUUAUUGGAGGGCCGAGGCCGCGAGGCAUUAACAAUGCAUGGAAAUGAGGUAAUUUGGUCCUAAAAACACGGAGGUGAAAACACAGGAAAAGGUGGAAACAUGCAAAAUUGUGC
ensembl:lncRNA